CCUCCCAUGUUACAGCUGAUCUAAUGAAACGUCAUGACAGCUAUGUUGCUCUUCUCCAAAACAUUAUUCAAAUUGUUAGAGUUACCACGUUGAUUUUAGGUAUUUUUUUAAACAUCACUACUGAUUAUAUUGAUUAUCAUAACUCAAAGUACUUACAUACAAAUUGCAGAAAUGAGACACUCGCUCUCUGCCCUUUCUAGGGUUGAUCUUAUCUAGUUGUACACAUUUCAUUAUUUUCAAUCCUGAAUAACAUUGGUGAAAAAUCACGAGGACAACCAUACAUCUCAUCUCUGAAUGGAACAAGCUUAGACUGUUGGAAAGGGCAAAAAAGAUUCUAAAUUUUCUCAAGACCAACAAAAAUUCGGACAAAGUUUUUUUUGUUUUCUGAUGAAAAAAAUCGUCGUUGGUGCCACUGUGAAUAAGCAGAACAGCCGCUACAUCUCAGCCACACAUCCAGAUGAUGUCUUAGAUUCUGUGAUACAUGUCUUCAUAACAAAAAAAAUCCAGUGGCCAGCGCUGGCCAAGUCUGUCCUCCCAUUUUUGUAGAGCAGAAGGCACGGCUCAAUGUAAAUGCUACAUCGAACUUCUGGAUAAGAAUAUGCUACCUUGGGACACUGUAAAGUUCGGGUUUUGUUUUCACUCAAGACGGAGCUCUGUGUCAUCACGCCGCCAAGACCUAAGCCUUCCUGUGAGACAACUUUCCGUAUUUUUGGGACCAAAGCAUGUAGAUAUCUUCCUCUCCAAAAGUGAAUCCCUUGGGCUACUUUAUCUAUUUGCGUCUGCAAGAGAUGAUGUGUGUUACUCCUCACAAGAGUGGACAAUAUAUAGAGGCUUCCAUCAAGAAGGAGUACACCAAGCUCAAGUCUCUACAUAAUCAAGGUCUACUGGAGAUAUAUGCCUUGUAUAAAGGCAAUUAUUAAAAUUGAGGGCUGACAUAUAUAAUAAAAGUUAUGCCAAGCCCUAUUUUCAGAUUAUUUUGUUUUAUAAAUGUCUACACAAAACCUCUCGUUUAAAUUUUAUUCUUGAAAAUUCAAAAAAAUAAAAUGUAUAGCAGUAAAUAAGAUCAA
rnacentral:lncRNA from 1 species